ACCGUUGUUGUUGUUGCUUGUUGUUUUUGUGGAAGGCACGCGCCUUUUUUCGUCUUUUUCACUUGCGUUUACUUAAGUGAAGGAGUUAGAAGUAAAAGAAAACUACGAGCAAACAACUUUGUUAAAUUCAAUUAAUAGUGGCUUAAAAGUGAAAUAGAAUCAAUUCCCAGACAAGGCUGAUGGUAAAUCUAUAAAAAAAAUGGUAGGCUAAGUCGUUCCAUUUUAAGCGUAUUAUCCGGGGAACUUGUUCUGUCCCACAACUUGGAGGAGGGUCAAAACAAGAAGAAGCUCAAAGUCUUCCCAAAUUUCGUCCGCGCCUUGUUAAAUGCAAUCGCUCUGGUGGAGCCCUCGGAGCCUCCCGAAAAGGCAUUGCAAAAAGCAAUGAGGUGCGUCAAAAACCUAAGUUGGGCAAAAAAAAAAGUCAACGCUGGCCCCAGAUGCUGACGAACCGACGACUCCGAUAACACCG